AACUUUCAACAAUGGAUCUCUUGGCUCUCGCAUCGAUGAAGAAAGCAGAGACAUGCGAUAAGUAAUGUGAAUUGCAGAAUUCAGUGAAUCAUCGAAUCUUUGAAUGCACCUUGCGCCCUUUGGCAUUCCGAAGGGCAUGCCUGUUUGAGUAUCAUGAACACCUCAACUCUUCAUGGUUUUCCAUCAUGACCUUGGACUUUGGGGGUCUUGCUGGCCUGCGGUCGGCUCCUCUCAAAUGAAUCAGCUUGCAAGUGUUUGGUGGGCAUCACAGGUGUGAUAACUAUCUACGCUUGUGGUUUUCCACCAGGUAACCUUCAGCAGUGGAGGUUCACUGGAGCUCACAGACGUCUCUCCUCAGUGAGGACGACAGCCCUUUGAAUGUUUGAUCUCAAAUCAGGUAGGACUACCCGCUGAACUUAAGCAUAUCAAUAAGCGGAGGCU
rnacentral:misc_RNA from 1 species